UGCCGGCUACCUGAGCGAGCCGGACGGUCCGCUCUCGCCGGACGGGCACACCCGCGCGUUCGAUGCGCGCGCCGCCGG
rnacentral:tRNA from 1 species